CCCUUAGAUGUUCUCGGCCGCACACGCGCUACACUGAAAGAGGCAACGUGUUUGCCUGAUUCGAAAGAAUUGGGUAACCCCCUAAUCUCUUUCGUGCUGGGGAUUGAGGUUUGCAAUUAUCCUUCAUGAACGAGGAAUUCCCAGUAAGUGCGAGUCAUUAUCUCGCGCUGACUACGUCCCUGCCCUUUGUACACACCGCCCGUCGCUACUACCGAUUGAAUGAUUUAGUGAGGACUUCGGACUGAGUCCAAUGCGGCUUUCGGGCUGCGUUGGUAUUUCGGAAAGAUGUUCAAACUGUAUCAUUUAGAGGAAGUAAAAGUCGUAACA
rnacentral:rRNA from 1 species